ACAAACAACAACAACAAUUUGGCUGUAACACUUGAGAAGUUUAUUGAUUACAAAGUCACUAAUGAACUAUGAGUGAAGACCUGUAUGAGUAUGAUUCUGAAGGAACUGGUGGCAGUGAUGCAGUUAUAGAGAUUUCAGAUUCGGACGAAACUUUGCCGCCAUCUGACAAAGAAACACAGCCACCUCUGGAGGAAUGUGGUCAGGAAGUUGAAUGGUCCCAGUCACCAUUAGGAUAUUUUGAUUAUUAUUUUUAUAUUCCAUCCUAUGGUGAUCGGAGACUAAGAAAACAGUGUAGACAAAUGAGGUAUUAUUGAUAUAUUUAGUGUAUAUUAUUUACAUUAGUAUUUUCACAGUCCCAAUUUUCGAAUUAUG